UGAGGAGUAUUGGACAAUGGAGGCAACUCUGAUCCAGCCAUGCCGCGUGCAGGAAGACUGCCCUAUGGGUUGUAAACUGCUUUUAUACGGGAAGAAACACCGCUACGUG
rnacentral:rRNA from 1 species